UACGGGGGGGCAAGCGUUGUUCGGAAUUACUGGGCGUAAAGAGCUCGUAGGCGGCCUGUCGCGUCGGCUGUGAAAACCCGGGGCUCAACCCCGGGCCUGCAGUCGAUACGGGCAGGCUAGAGUUCGGCAGGGGAGACGUGGAAUUCCUGGAUGUAGCGGUGAAAUGACGCAGAGUAUCAGGAGGAACACCGGUGGCGAAGGCGGGUCUCUGGGCCGAUACUGACGCUGAGGAGCGAAAGCGUGGGGAGCGAACAGG
rnacentral:rRNA from 1 species